UGGCUCAGGACGAACGCUGGCGGCGUGCCUAAUACAUGCAAGUAGAACGCUGAAGGAGGAGCUUGCUUCUCUGGAUGAGUUGCGAACGGGUGAGUAACGCGUAGGUAACCUGCCUGGUAGCGGGGGAUAACUAUUGGAAACGAUAGCUAAUACCGCAUAAGAGUAGAUGUUGCAUGACAUUUGCUUAAAAGGUGCAAUUGCAUCACUACCAGAUGGACCUGCGUUGUAUUAGCUAGUUGGUGGGGUAACGGCUCACCAAGGCGACGAUACAUAGCCGACCUGAGAGGGUGAUCGGCCACACUGGGACUGAGACACGGCCCAGACUCCUACGGGAGGCAGCAGUAGGGAAUCUUCGGCAAUGGACGGAAGUCUGACCGAGCAACGCCGCGUGAGUGAAGAAGGUUUUCGGAUCGUAAAGCUCUGUGUAAGAGAAGAACGAGUGUGAGAGUGGAAAGUUCACACUGUGACGGUAUCUUACCAGAAAGGGACGGCUACUACGUGCCAGCAGCGCGGUAAUACGUAGUCCGAGCGUGUCCGGAUUUAUUGGGGCGUAAGCGAGCGCAGGCGGUAGAUAAGUCUGAGUAAAGGCUGUGGCUACCAUAGUACCGCUUGAACUUGUUUACUGAUGCAAGAGGGGAAAGUGAUCCAUGUGUACGGGUGAAUGCUUAAUAAUGGAGGAACCCCGGUGCUAAUCGCUUCUCUGCUUGACUGACCUGAAGCUCGAAGCGUGGGAGCAACAGGAAUAGAUUCCCUU
rnacentral:rRNA from 1 species